GUCCCCCCCAAAAUGUGAUCUCACUUUCUUACACGGGAUUAGAAACGGAGUCCGGCACUCGGGCAUCUACAAUAAUCUACAAUAAAGACUACAGUUCUUACGUUCCCUGGCAGAGAGUAGGUCACGUGACCCAGUUCCAGCCAAUAGCACACGAGCAGGAGCACCGUGUCAACUUCUAGGACAAGCCAGCCCUGGAGGACAAGCGAUAUGGCGGAGAGCCAUCUUGGACCACACAGGUAAGGUCGACUACAGAGCACCAACAUGGAAGGAAUCUAGGCCUCUGACACCAUGGAACUACCACAGCAACCCAUGGCAGGACUGUUGUGAGAGACGAACUUCCGUCUUUUGUAAGCCACUGCUAUUUGGGGAACCAGUAACAGCAAUCAGAAUUAUGCCUCACAAGUACCAGAUAGUGGUGACCGUUUAUAAAAGGUUUUCUUCUGCAUUACGGAGUAGCACAACAAGGACACCAGCUGCAGAUACUAAGCUUGGAGAGGACAAAUGACUCAUCCAAGAUCAGUUGGUACGGGGCCAAACUGGAACGAAAACCUUACCUUCUUCUAAAUGCGAGUCCUGGUGACUUUCCUGCUACCCAACUGUAAAGCACCAAAAGUAACAGGUAUUUAGCCUGCUGAGCCACCCCAACCUACCCCGAUUUCAAGAUGCAUUCUUGGUGCUGAUCCUUGUUUACAGGCACAAUAAGUCCCACCAGUGGCGCAACUGUUUCUCUGCCAUGUUGAAUUCCUAAGACUAAUUCUAACAGCUAUACCUUUCUGUGUAUGAACCGUGGAUAAAUGUAGAAUGUUGAGUAGAAUGACGUGAAUACAACUGCCCUCUUUUUUCAAGAGUAGUUCAGUUUUCUAAAGGCCUAUGGUGAGCAUCCAGAUCACCGCUAACCUAGAUUGUAAACAAUUAAACCUUGACCUUGAA